rnacentral:rRNA from 1 species
AGGACGAACGCUGGCGGCGUGCCUAAUACAUGCAAGUCGAGCGGAAAUUUAUUGGUGCUUGCACCUUAAAUUUAGCGGCGGACGGGUGAGUAACACGUGGGUAACCUACCUUAUAGAUUGGGAUAACUCCGGGAAACCGGGGCUAAUACCGAAUAAUACUUUUUAACACAUGUUUGAAAGUUGAAAGACGGUUUCGGCUGUCACUAUAAGAUGGACCCGCGGCGCAUUAGCUAGUUGGUGAGGUAACGGCUCACCAAGGCAACGAUGCGUAGCCGACCUGAGAGGGUGAUCGGCCACACUGGGACUGAGACACGGCCCAGACUCCUACGGGAGGCAGCAGUAGGGAAUCUUCCACAAUGGACGAAAGUCUGAUGGAGCAACGCCGCGUGAGUGAAGAAGGAUUUCGGUUCGUAAAACUCUGUUGCAAGGGAAGAACAAGUAGCGUAGUAACUGGCGCUACCUUGACGGUACCUUGUUAGAAAGCCACGGCUAACUACGUGCCAGCAGCCGC